UACUAUGGAAUGAGACCACCACUUCUCC
rnacentral:piRNA from 1 species